CUACGGGUCGCAGCAGUGGGGAAUAUUGCACAAUGGGCGCAAGCCUGAUGCAGCCAUGCCGCGUGUAUGAAGAAGGCCUUCGGGUUGUAAAGUACUUUCAGCGGGGAGGAAGGGAGUAAAGUUAAUACCUUUGCUCAUUGACGUUACCCGCAGAAGAAGCACCGGCUAACUCCGUGCCAGCAGCCGCGGUAAUACGGAGGGUGCAGGCGUUAAUCGGAAUUACUGGGCGUAAAGCGCACGCAGGCGGUUUGUUAAGUCAGAUGUGAAAUCCCCGGGCUCAACCUGGGAACUGCAUCUGAUACUGGCAAGCUUGAGUCUCGUAGAGGGGGGUAGAAUUCCAGGUGUAGCGGUGAAAUGCGUAGAGAUCUGGAGGAAUACCGGUGGCGAAGGCGGCCCCCUGAACGAAGACUGACGCUCAGGUGCGAAAGCGUGGGGAGCAAACAGGAUUAGAUACCCUCGUAGUC
rnacentral:rRNA from 1 species